AUUGAACGCUGGCGGCAGGCCUAACACAUGCAAGUCGAACGAGUGGCGGACGGGUGAGUAAUGUCUGGGAAACUGCCUGAUGGAGGGGGAUAACUACUGGAAACGGUAGCUAAUACCGCAUACCAUCGGAUGUGCCCAGAUGGGAUUGGGUAGUAGGUGGGGUAAGGGCUCACCACGGCAACGAGCCCUAGCUGGUCUGAGAGGAGGACCACCAACACUGGAACUGAGCAAGGGUCCAGACCCCUAGGGGGGGCGGCAGGGGGAAAUAUUGCACAAUGGGCGCAAGCCGAAGGCAGCCAUGCGGUGUGGAUGAAGAAGGCUUUCGGGUUGUAAAGUACUUUCAGCGGGGAGGCGUUACCGGCAGAAGAAGCACCGGCUAACUCCGGGCCAGCAGCGGCGGAAUAC
rnacentral:rRNA from 1 species